GCAAGUCGAACGGAGACCCUGGCUUCGGCCGGGCGAUCAGUGGCGAAAGGGUGAGGAACACGUGAGUAACCUGCCCCCGAGUUCGGGAUAGCCCCGGGAAACCGGGAUUAAUACCGGAUGUGGUUUUCUCCUGCAUGGGAGAAGGACCAAAGAGUUUCGCUCGGGGAUGGGCUCGCGUCCUAUUAGCUUGUUGGUGAGGUAACGGCUCACCAAGGCUGUGACAGGUAGCUGGUCUGAGAGGAUGGUC
rnacentral:rRNA from 1 species